AGGGGCGUAGGUUAACGGUAGACCUGAUCUCUCCAAAAGAUCUAGUGAGGGUUCGACUCCUUCCGCCCCUGC
rnacentral:tRNA from 15 species